AUUGAACGCUGGCGGAAUGCUUUACACAUGCAAGUCGAGCGGCAGCGCGGUCUUCGGACUGGCGGCGAGCGGCGAACGGGUGAGUAAUACAUCGGAACAUGCCCAGUCGUGGGGGAUAACACUUCGAAAGAAGUGCUAAUACCGCAUACGUCCUGAGGGAGAAAGCGGGGGAUCGCAAGACCUCGCGCGAUUGGAGUGGCCGAUGUCAGAUUAGCUAGUUGGUGGGGUAAAGGCCUACCAAGGCAACGAUCUGUAGCUGGUCUGAGAGGAUGAUCAGCCACACUGGGACUGGGACACGGCCCAGACUCCUACGGGAGACAGCAGUGGGGAAUUUUGGACAAUGGGGGCAACCCUGAUCCAGCCAUUCCGCGUGAGUGAAGAAGGCCUUCGGGUUGUAAAGCUCUUUCGGCAGGAACGAAACGGCGAGCUCUAACAUAGCUCGCUAAUGACGGUACCUGAAGAAGAAGCACCGGCUAACUACGUGCCAGCAGCCGCCGUAAGAC
rnacentral:rRNA from 1 species